rnacentral:misc_RNA from 1 species
AAGUCGUAACAAGGUUUCCGUAGGUGAACCUGCGGAAGGAUCAUUAUAGAGACUUUACCUCUUUGAGGUUCUAUCUCCUACCCCUGUUUACUUUACCGUGUUGCUUUGGCAGGCCUGUCUUCUGGCUACCAGCUUCUGCUGGUUUGUGCCUGCCAGAGAACCCCAAACUCGUGUCUUUUGCUGUCUGAGUAUCAUAGAAUGCAUUAAAACUUUCAACAACGGAUCUCUUGGUUCUG